UAGGUCCUACUCAGGAUAUAAACCGCCACACUGUGGGCGGAAGAGCCCUCAGUCUGUCGUGGAAGAAACUGAUGCUCUGUGUGUGGCCCUAUGUUAGCCUUACCUGUGGACAUCUGCUUUUUUUUCCUAUGCAGAAGACCGAGUACCAGGAUGCUUCACUGCUGCUUUGAGAGUGGAAUGUGGUGACCUGUGACCGUGGCCUGAGGAUAAGCUUCUGCGUUUCUACGAAUACUGUUUAAUGUGUAAAAUUCCCCCCUGGUGAUGUUUGUGUAAAUCUAUGGCUCUCUUUUAUGUACUUUGUGUAAGUUUGCUUUUUAUUUAUUUUUUUAUUACUAUUAAAUGAGACUUUGAACCCAUCG